rnacentral:rRNA from 1 species
GACAUAGGUCGCGAACGUUAUCCGGAAUUAUUGGGCGUAAAGGGUGCGUAGAUGGUGUGAUAAGUUGUUGGUGGUAAACCGAGGCUCAACCUCGUGGAAGCUGAUAAUACUGUCACACUAGAGUGUAGGAGAGGUUAACGGAACUCCAUGUGGAGCGGUAAAAUGCGUAGAUAUCAGGAGGAACACCGGUGGCGAAAGCGGCUCUCUGGACCACAACUGACGCUGAGGCGCGAAAGCUAGGGGAGCAAACAGG